rnacentral:rRNA from 1 species
GACGAACGCUGGCGGCGUGCUUAACACAUGCAAGUCGAACGAAAAGGCCCUGCUUUUGUGGGUUUCUCGAUUGCGGAACGGGGGAGUAACACGUGAGUAUCCUCCCCUUGACUUUGGGGUAACUUCAGGAAACUGGGGCUAUUACCGGAUAGGAGCUCCUGCUGCUUGUGGGGGGUUGGAAAGUUUCGGCGGUUGGGGAUGGACUCGCGGCUUAUCAGCUUGUUGGUGGGGUAGUGGCUUACCAAGGCUUUGACGGGUAGCAGGCCUGAGAGGGUGACCGGCCACAUUGGGACUGAGAUACGGCCCAGACUCCUACGGGAGGCAGCAGUGGGGAAUCUUGCACAAUGGGCGGAAGCCUGAUGCAGCAACGCCGCGUGCGGGAUGACGGCCUUCGGGUUGUAAACCGCUUCCGCCUGUGACGAAGCGUGAGUGACGGUAAUGGGUAAAGAAGCACCGGCUAACUACGUG